AUGGCUUCCUUGGCGCACCACACGCAGAGGCAUGACUUCGUCUUGAUGGCGGCAAGGCGUAGCAACCGCUUGCCUCAAGGGACCGACGGCGGCGUCGGCGGCGCAGCGAUUGGAGCGACGGCGUCUCCCGCCGACCACGUGCGUCGCGGGGUGGGGCAGCGGGCGGUGAGCAGCUCGCCGCAAAGCUCUGUUUCCGGGGAGGAGCUGCGUCGGAGCUUGCCGCAAACUCUGUUUCUGGGGUGGCGCAGCGUCGUCUUGGUGCGGUGGCGACUCCGUGAGGCCCCCGGUGCAAGCCCAGAUUUUCGGUGUGGUCGCAGCAGGUUUGUCAUGUCGACGUUCGCCGGUGUGUCCGUCCUCGACGGCGACAAGCCGUGCUCUUGCGUAACGUCGGGCGUCGGCGCCGGUGCUGGCGCGAGCAGCGUGUACCACCUGCUCGUGGUCAAGGGCUACUCUGGUAUCAAAAAGGAGUUGCCCAACGGCGAGAGCUGGUGCACUGAUUUGUUCAGGGUGGGAGGCCAUGAGUAUUCCAUCGAGUACUAUCCUAACGGCGCAAACCCCAACUGUGCCGACUUCAUUUCGCUCGAUAUUACCCGUCUCUACGAGGAAGAUGUCGAAGAGGGUGUGGAGGCCAAGUUCAGUUUCAGUCUCGUCGACGACGUCGAGAAGCAGAUGCCGACGUACAUUCGUGCGACUCGUAAAACCCGUGACUUCCGCAGAUGUGAUCCUUGUUGGGGUUGCGACAAGUUCAUGAGAAGAUAUGCCCUUGAGCGAUCAGCCAGUCUAAAGUCUGAUUGUUUCACCAUCAGGUGUGAUAUUGUGGUGUGCAAGGACAACACCCCAGAUGCCACCGGCUCCGGCACCGGCACCGAGGUUCUCCUGCCUGACAUACACCAACAUUUUAGCAACCUCCUUCAGAAUAAGGUGGGUGCUGAUGUGACAUUCGAGGUCAGCGGCGAGACGUUCGCUGCACACCGGUGUGUGCUCGCUGCCAGGUCUGAAGUGUUCAUGGCGCAGCUCUUUGGCACCGCUACGCCCAGCGUCAUGCAGAUCACAGAUAUGGAAGCAAAAGUGUUCAGGGCUUUGCUUUGCUUCAUCUACACAGGCUCGUGUCCUGAGAUGGAGAAGAACAGCAUGGAGGAGGAUGAAAUGCCAGGAGUUGUGGGACAAGGACAAGUAGAGGAAGUACUGGAGGAUAAAAUGUCAGAAGUUGAGGAACAAACACAAGAAGAGGCGGUAGAGGAUGAAAUUCUUAUGCAAUGGCUGCAGGACUUGUUUGUGGCGGCAGACAGAUACAAUCUCCAGCGGCUCAAGUUCAUAUGUGAAAAGCAGUUGUGUGAGCAUGUAGGUGUGAGCUCCGUGGCGUCCACUCUUGCUCUAGCCAAGCAGCACCACUGCCAUGGAUUGAAGGCGGCGUGCUUGAAGUUUAUCCAAGUCCUAUCUCCCUCGCGUUUGCAGACACUAAUGGCAACUGAUGGAUGGGGGCAUAUAGCAACGACAUACCCCUCUGUUUUGUACGAGCUCAUUGCCAUCCUUGCGUCAAACCAGCGGAAAUGA
rnacentral:rRNA from 1 species